CAGUCGCCGCGGGAAUACGAAGGGUGCAAGCGUUAAUCGGAAUUACUGGGCGUAAAGCGUGCGUAGGCGGUGAGUUAAGUCUGCUGUGAAAUCCCCGGGCUCAACCUGGGAAUGGCGCUUGUGACUGCAAAGCUAGAGUGCGGCAGAGGGGGAUGGAAUUCCGCGUGUAGCAGUGAAAUGCGUAGAUAUGCGGAGGAACACCGAUGGCGAAGGCAAUCCCCUGGGCCUGCACUGACGCUCAUGCACGAAAGCGUGGGGAGCAAACAGGAUUAGAUACCCGCGUAGUCCCUGUCUCUUAUAC
rnacentral:rRNA from 1 species